AACGAACGCUGGCGGCAUGCCUAACACAUGCAAGUCGAACGAGACCUUCGGGUCUAGUGGCGCACGGGUGCGUAACGCGUGGGAACCUGCCCUUAGGUUCGGAAUAACUCCCCGAAAGGGGUGCUAAUACCGGAUAAUGUCUUCGGACCAAAGAUUUAUCGCCUUUGGAUGGGCCCGCGUUGGAUUAGCUAGUUGGUAGGGUAAAAGCCUACCAAGGCGACGAUCCAUAGCUGGUCUGAGAGGAUGGUCAGCCACACUGGGACUGAGACACGGCCCAGACUCCUACGGGAGGCAGCAGGGGGGAAUAUUGGACAAUGGGCGAAAGCCUGAUCCAGCAAUGCCGCGUGAGUGAUGAAGGCCUUAGGGUUGUAAAGCUCUUUUACCCGGGAUGAUAAUGACAGUACCGGGAGAAUAAGCUCCGGCUAACUCCGU
rnacentral:rRNA from 1 species